rnacentral:lncRNA from 1 species
ACGUGAAGGGUGCGGAAAUAAACGAGACCGGCACACUCCUGCGAACGUUCACUCUCCCGCUACAAGACAAAAAGGUAACUCAUCCCUUCGUCGAGCCUAAUCACAAUCACGCAGGUCUCCAGCUCCUGCUUCUUUCCAUCCAAAGAUCCGAAAGGACGGCUCGCUGCCUAUCUAUCGUCGCCGAUGGCAUCCGACUUCCAAACCAUCCCGGUGAUAGGUAUGGACAGAUCCCUUCCCUUCCCUCUCUAAAUUGAUUCCGACUCACUUCCACUCUGUGCCAUCAAAUUUAGAAUUUUGAUUUCCCAAUAACCUUUGAUCGAGGCUUUUGAGUGUUAGCUCCAAUAAUGAUUAAACUGAACUUCGGUUGGAUUUUCUUGAAUUCAAGGCAGUGGAUGUGUGGCAGAAUUUUAACUUGGUAUAGGAAAAUUAGAACGGAAGAACAAAAACCUUAUUCAUUUGUUUAUUUAUUUAUUUUGUGCCAAGGGUUUUGCUUCAGCAAAUAUCUUGCAUCAUAUUAUAUAUUUUUGAGGUUUGAUUGCAUGGAGGCCUAGGUCUUCUAUCGAGAAAAGAAAAGGAAUAAAUUUGAGAAAACAUACGGCGUUCUGAAAUUUUUCUAAUAUUUUAUUAUUAUCAUCUUGAAGAUUCUUC